GACUUUAAACAUGCUAUCGAGAUCGAGACCGGGUCGAAAUACAGUGAACCCGAUUCCAAAACAAUAUUAUAUGAUUGACAGCAUAUAACUUAUUUCUUUUACAACUUUUUAUUAAUUAUUUAAUAACAAACAAUCAUGUACAUAUCAAUAUGCUGAUAACAACUGCAUACGCUGCGAGUGAUCAAUGAAAUAUAUAAAAGUGACGAAACGAAUUUCGUAACAUAGCCCCCUCCUGAAGAAAACAUUCGUCCCGAAUGCAACUGGACUUGGGUCUACUGAAAACAUCACUUGCAGUUAUAGAAGUUGUAACCUUCCCAAUACUAAAUCGGCUGGGAGAGAAACAUGCCUACCAAACAUCAUCUCACAUGGACUUACGCCAGUUGACUCGUGCUGGGCUGACCUAUAAGCUAACAUGAGCAAGGGUGCCUUUUGUUUCGACCUAGUUUCAAUAACUGAACACUUUUGUGUAGAUUCUUCAGGUA